rnacentral:rRNA from 1 species
CGCGGCCUAUCAGCUUGUUGGUGAGGUAACGGCUCACCAAGGCGAUGACGGGUAGCUGGCGUGAGAGCGCGACCAGCCACACUGGGACUGAGACACGGCCCAGACUCCUACGGGAGGCAGCAGUGGGGAAUAUUGCGCAAUGGGCGAAAGCCUGACGCAGCGACGCCGCGUGGGGGAGGAAGGCCUCAGGGUUGUAAACCCCUGUCAGGUGGGACGAACCCCGAGUCGGAUAAUACCCGGCUCGACUGACGGUACCACCAGAGGAAGCUCCGGCUAACUCCGUGCCAGCAGCCGCGGUAAUACGGAGGGAGCAAGCGUUGUUCGGAAUCACUGGGCGUAAAGGGCGCGUAGGCGGUCACGUAAGUCGGGUGUGAAAGCCUGAGGCUCAACCUCAGGAGGCCGGUCGAAACUGCUGUGGCUAGGGUCCGGUAGAGGAGAGUGGAAUUCCCGGUGUAGCGGUGAAAUGCGCAGAUAUCGGGAGGAACACCAGUAGCGAAGGCGGCUCUCUGGGCCGGUACCGACGCUGAGGAGCGAAAGCUAGGGGAGCAAACAGGAUUAGAUACCCUGGUAGUCCUAGCCGUAAACGUUGGGCACUAGGUGUGGCGGAUUCAUUGACAUCUGCCGUGCCGAAGCUAACGCAUUAAGUGCCCCGCCUGGGGAGUACGG